UACAGAGGUCCCGAGCGUUGUCCGGAUUCACUGGGCGUAAAGGGUGCGUAGGUGGUGAGGAAAGUCGGAUGUGAAAUCUCCAAGCUCAACUUGGAAAUGGCAUUGGAAACUACCUUGCUGGAGGUUUGGAGGGGGGACUGGAAUACUUGGUGUAGCAGUGAAAUGCGUAGAUAUCAAGUGGAACACCAGUGGCGAAGGCGAGUCCCUGGACAACACCUGACACUGAGGCACGAAAGCUAGGGGAGCAAACAGG
rnacentral:rRNA from 1 species